rnacentral:miRNA from 1 species
CACUGCAUUCCUGCUUGGCCCAG